AGAGUUUGAUUCUGGCUCAGGAUGAACGCUGGCGGCGUGCUUAACACAUGCAAGUCGAACGAGGUCCAACCUUCGGGUGAAGACCGAGUGGCGAACGGGUGAGUAACACGUGGGGAACCUGCCCUUCCCUCUGGGAUAACCUCGGGAAACCGAAGCUAAUACCGGAUACUCCUUGCGGACCGCAUGGUCUGCUCGGGAAAGCUCCGGCGGAGAAGGAUGGCCCCGCGGCCCAUUAGCUUGUUGGUGGGGUAACGGCCCACCAAGGCGACGAUGGGUAGCCGAGCUGAGAGGCUGAUCGGCCACACUGGGACUGAGACACGGCCCAGACUCCUACGGGAGGCAGCAGUGGGGAAUCUUGCGCAAUGGGCGAAAGCCUGACGCAGCAACGCCGCGUGCGGGAUGAAGGCUCUCGGGUCGUAAACCGCUUUCAGCGGGGAUGAAAAUGACAGUACCUGCAGAAGAAGCCCCGGCUAAAUACGUGCCAGCAGCCGCGGUAAUACGUAUGGGGCAAGCGUUAUCCGGAUUCAUUGGGCGUAAAGCGCGCGUAGGCGGCUUGUUAAGUCAGGCGUGAAAUCCGGGGGCUCAACCCGCGGCCUGCGUCUGAAACUGGCAGGCUUGAGUCUGGUAGAGGAAAGUGGAAUUCCUGGUGUAGCGGUGAAAUGCGCAGAUAUCAGGAGGAACACCAGUGGCGAAGGCGGCUUUCUGGGCCACGACUGACGCUGAGGCGCGAAAGCUAGGGGAGCGAACAGGAUUAGAUACCCUGGUAGUC
rnacentral:rRNA from 1 species